rnacentral:lncRNA from 1 species
AAAAAAAAAAGUAGCCGAGAGUGGUGGACCUCUUCUGUGGUCCCAGCUACUUGGGAGGCUGAGGCGGGAGGAUCGCUUAAGCCCAGCAGGUUGGGGCUGCAGUGAACCAAGAUCAAGCUGCUUCUCUCCUGCCUCGGCAUUAGAGUGAGACCCUGGCUCAUAGUAAAAUAAAUAAAUAGAAGCUAAUCUAGAAGCUGAUGCUGGCCCUGCCCUUGGUGCUCACCACGGACCUGGCAGGCCUGGCGCCUCUCCUGUGCGUGGGGCGGCCUCACCCCGUGACUGGCGCUCUCUUUUCCAGGAUCAUCCAGCAGCUCGUCAACGGCAUCAUCACGCCCGCCACCAUCCCCAGCCUGGGCCCCUGGGGAGUCCUGCACUCAAACCCUAUGGACUACGCCUGGGGGGCCAACGGCCUGGAUGCCAUCAUCACACAGGUACAGCGUGGCCACGGCCCAGAGUGCCUGCUGGGGGAGGGCUGGGCUGCCCACCCCUGGGAGCUGCCCCACUGCCUGGACCCACGAAGCCCCACAAAGGUCAAAGGGGAUGCGGGCACAGCCUCCACGCUCUGGCGGGCACAGGGGGCAGCUCCGGCCUUCCUCCUGCCAUUUCUGAGUCUUGGCAACUUUGGGGGUUCUCCUGUGUUCACGCGGAACGUUGUAGCAAAACCGCGGGGAGGACUCGCCCACAGUCACAUGGUCAGGAGGCCACGCGGUCCCUCUUCCCGAGAGGUCGCGCCCUGACCUGCUUCCAAGUGCCACCCGUCUCAGCCUUGCUGAGGAGCCCUUGGAGCAUUUUGUCACUGGCAGGACCCGACCCUCACAGUAGCCCACCAGCCGGAGCACGGCCCCCCCAUUCCGCCGUCAGGGCACUCAGGAGCGCGGCCCCCCCCCCCAUUCCGCUGUCAGGGACCCAGGAGCGCGGGCCUCCGCCCAUUCCCCCAUUCCACCGUCAGGGGACCCAGGAGCGGGGGGGCCGCGUGGGCUCCACAGUGAUCUCCGACCCCGGGCGGGCUCCAAGGGGCCCAGGGCCCAGGACAAACGCGGCCUCGGUGCUUUUGCAGGUCCUGCAGCCUCGCGUUUCAGAGCCCCGGGCCGGGCCCCCGAGGAGCUCCCGGCACUCUCGCCUCUUGUCUUUCAGCUCCUCAAUCAGUUUGAAAACACAGGCCCCCCACCGGCAGAUAAAGAGAAAAUCCAGGCCCUCCCCACCGUCCCCGUCACUGAGGAGCACGUAGGCUCCGGGCUCGAGUGCCCUGUGUGCAAGGACGACUACGCGCUGGGUGAGCGUGUGCGGCAGCUGCCCUGCAACCACCUGUUCCACGACGGCUGCAUCGUGCCCUGGCUGGAGCAGCACGACAGCUGCCCCGUCUGCCGAAAAAGCCUCACGGGACAGAACACGGCCACGAACCCCCCUGGCCUCACUGGGGUGAGCUUCUCCUCCUCGUCGUCAUCGUCCUCCUCCAGCUCGCCCAGCAACGAGAACGCCACAAGCAACUCGUGAGCCCACGUCGGCCGUCGGGAAAGCACGGGGCCUUUCCCACCCACCCUCAGCCAGCGCCACACGGCACCCACAGACUGGGUGCCCCGGCGGCGCCACGCUUGGCUGGUCAGCGCUGCAGGUCCCGCCUGUUCCAGGGCAGGACCCGGGCCCGGCCCACCGGCCCCCUGGCUUGGGAAGGCGUGGGCCACAUGGUCCCCUCUGGGGCGUCCCCAGCCUCCCCGUCCUCUGUCUAACCUCACCCUCUAAACGUUCAGCGGUGGAAAGAUUUUUAUAAUUUUAAAUUAUUACUGCUUUGAAAUAAACGGACGUUUGAGCUCACGUGGCGGCCAUGCAUGGUUUGUGGCGGAAGACGGGGCCCAGCGGCUCCCCCAGCGCUGAAGCACGGGGUUCAGCGGCUCCCCCAGUGCUGCAGGUGCCGCCAGGACGGGCCACGUGGGCCCCCAGCCUCCCCCUCGGCCGCCUCCACGACCCGGAGUAGGGGGGCUCGGGACCAUGAGGAUGACCAGCAAAAUUCAAGAACAAAACUGCUCCAACAGACUUUUUUAAAGGAAAAAAUAUGUGUAUCUUGAAAGCUAUUUAAAAUACACUACUUACAAAG